GCCCGACCUCCAACCCUUUUUAAACCCUUUUUUAACGAGUAUAAUCUGAGUGGAUAUUUAAUGCUUCAAUUAAAACUUUCAACAACGGAUCUCUUGGUUCUGGCAUCGAUGAAGAACGCAGCGAAAUGCGAUAAGUAAUGUGAAUUGCAGAAUUCAGUGAAUCAUCGAAUCUUUGAACGCACAUUGCGCUCCCUGGUAUUCCGGGGAGCAUGCCUGUUCGAGCGUCAUUAUCAACCAUCAAGCCCUGCUUGGUAUUGGGUGCCGUCCCUGCUGCGGACGCUCCCUAAAGGCCUCGGCGGUGGUGUUGAACCUCAAGCGUAGUAAAUUCUCCAGCUUCCCAGGUUCGGCGCCGCCCGCCUCCAGAAACCCCCAUUUCAAGGUUGACCUCGGAUCAGGUAGG
rnacentral:rRNA from 1 species